rnacentral:rRNA from 1 species
GUGACCCCAGGAUGGGCGAGGCCACCC